AAAUUAGACGGAUAAUAUCGUCCUCCGCGGGACAAGGCACCUCACGAGCCCUUCUCGUCCUCAGAUCUAGCGCCGCCUCCUUCACCCUGCUGCUGGCCGCCUGGCCGGCGAGCUCCUCAGCGUGGAAGAAGACAAAAAACGUUAUAGUGAAGAGGAGGGGUUGAUUGCUGCAUUCAAAAGUGUCGGGGAUACCUUAUCCAAUGCUACUGAGAAGGUUGCCACAGGGGACACUGAUGUGCCAGAUGAUCUUUUUAUAGUUUGAUAAACCUUUCAGGUUUUGAGCAGACCCACAUAUCUCUGUAUUUCAAUUAUCUGGUGGCGCACCCUCACAUUGCUAGAGCCUUCAACAAGUUGUCAUUCGACCACAAGUUAAUCUGGGCUCGCAAUUUCGUCAGUGAAAAGUUCCUAGGAGUGUGAGGGCAGUUGGUAGGUAGGCUUGGAGGGUUCUUUUGCUUGAACCACAUUGAACAAUGAACUGCGAUCUAUGUGUAACCAGGAGUGUGAGGGCAGUUAGUAGAUAGGCUUGGACGGUUCUUUUGCUUGAACUACAUCAAACAAUGAAAUGUCGUCUAAGUAUGUCAGCGGAUUUUGCUUGAACAUGCAGAUUUUGUGGAAGCCUUAAACUUGAUAUUAUGUGUAAUGCUAGGACACAUUAUUAUGUAUUGUGUGGAAUUAAUAAUAUGUGUGUUUUGUAGAC